rnacentral:RNase_P_RNA from 1 species
UCAGACGGCCGGGCGGUCGCGCUUCUACGCUAAAGCUUCGCAGCGCUUGCGCUCCGGAACCUCGGCGAAGGGGCGAGGAAAGUCCGGGCUCCACGGUGAAGAGGCGGCGGGUAACUCCCGCCCGGGGCGACCCGAGGGAUAGCGCCACAGAAAGCAAACCGCCUGCCCUCCGGGGCAGGGAAGGGUGAAAGGGUGGGGUAAGAGCCCACCGCGUCUCUGGCAACAGCGACGGCAUGGCAAGCCCCGCCUGGAGCAAGACCGAAUAGGGACGUCGCGCGGUUUCGGCCGCAGGGUUCACCGCCCGAGGCGUCCGGGUAGGUCGCGAGAACCGUCCAGCAAUGGGCGGUCCAGAGGAAUGAUCGUCGCCGCACUCCGGUGCGGAACAGAACCCGGCUUACAGGCCGUCUGACCUU